CACGUAGGGCGCGAGCGUUGUCCGGAAUUAUUGGGCGUAAAGAGCUCGUAGGCGGCCUGUUGCGUCCGCUGUGAAAGCCCGGGGCUUAACCCCGGGUCGGCAGUGGAUACGGGCAGGCUAGAGGUAGGUAGGGGAGAAUGGAAUUCCCGGUGUAGCGGUGAAAUGCGCAGAUAUCGGGAGGAACACCGGUGGCGAAGGCGGUUCUCUGGGCCUUACCUGACGCUGAGGCGCGAGAGCUAGGGGAGCAAACGGG
rnacentral:rRNA from 1 species